rnacentral:rRNA from 1 species
GAUGAACGCUGGCGGCGUGCCUAAUACAUGCAAGUCGAGCGAACGGGCGAGAAGCUUGCUUCUCUGAUGUUAGCGGCGGACGGGUGAGUAACACGUGGAUAACCUACCUAUAAGACUGGGAUAACUUCGGGAAACCGGAGCUAAUACCGGAUAAUAUUUUGAACCGCAUGGUUCAAAAGUAAAAGACGGUCUUGCUGUCACUUAUAGAUGGAUCCGCGCUGCAUUAGCUAGUUGGUAAGGUAACGGCUUACCAAGGCAACGAUGCAUAGCCGACCUGAGAGGGUGAUCGGCCACACUGGAACUGAGACACGGUCCAGACUCCUACGGGAGGCAGCAGUAGGGAAUCUUCCGCAAUGGGCGAAAGCCUGACGGAGCAACGCCGCGUGAGUGAUGAAGGUCUUCGGAUCGUAAAACUCUGUUAUUAGGGAAGAACAUAUGUGUAAGUAACUGUGCACAUCUUGACGGUACCUAAUCAGAAAGCCACGGCUAACUACGUG